rnacentral:tRNA from 1 species
GCUGGGGUGGCGGAAUUGGUAGACGCACAGGACUUAAAAUCCUGCGCCCUUAGGGGCAUGCGGGUUCGACUCCCGCCCUCAGCACCA